rnacentral:misc_RNA from 1 species
GUGAAUCAUCGAAUCUUUGAACGCAAAUUGCACUCUCCUCUGAGAGUAUGCCUGUUUGAGUGUCAGCCUAUAAAAAUUCGACAACGUUGCGGUUUCGCGGUGUCGUUCGUCGGAAAGUGGGUUAUCUUAGAGCCUUUUGGUGUUUAGGCGACUUAAAAUUUUCUUUUUGUUUUCAUGAACUGUUCUAAGAUUUAUUUCUUUACACGUUUAAGGUAUCGAUUUUUAUUAGACGGGACCAUCAUAUCGAAUCGCGUCCAUAGUCUUGCAUUAAC